GGGGUGCAGCAGGCGCGAAACCUCCGCAAUGUGAGAAAUCGCGACGGGGGGAUCCCAAGUGCCAUUCUUAACGGGAUGGCUUUUCAUUAGUGUAAAGAGCUUUUGGAAUAAGAGCUGGGCAAGACCGGUGCCAGCCGCCGCGGUAACACCGGCAGCUCUAGUGGUAGCAAUUUUUAUUGGGCCUAAAGCGUCCGUAGCCGGUUUAAUAAGUCUCUGGUGAAAUCCUGCAGCUUAACUGUGGGAAUUGCUGGAGAUACUAUUAGACUUGAGACCGGGAGAGGUUAGAGGUACUCCCAGGGUAGAGGUGAAAUUCUGUAAUCCUGGGAGGACCGCCUGUUGCGAAGGCGUCUAACUGGAACGGUUCUGACGGUGAGGGACGAAAGUUAGGGGCGCGAACCGGAUUAGAUACCCGGGUAGUCCUAACUGUAAACGAUGCGGACUUGGUGUUGGGGUGGCUUUGAGCUGCUUCAGUGCCGAAGGGAAGCUGUUAAGUCCGCCGCCUGGGAAGUACGGUCGCAAGACUGAAACUUAA
rnacentral:rRNA from 1 species